ACAAAGAAGUAUCAUGUGCACAUUUCUUCUAAUCACUGGGGUAUCUCACACAGGCCUGGAGCUGGGGUUGCUGAUGGUGGUCUAUUAGGGCAGACAGAAGAUGAUGGAAUGGAGAGCUUGAUCUCUUCCAUCCAAUGACUGUGUGUGUGUGUGUGUGUUUGUUUGUGUAAAACUGUUAGAGAUUAUUUACAUUGUGAAUUUCUAAGUCAUAUCCUGCUACGGUUCCACCCAGAGGGAUAGGGCUUAAAUCUGAACUUUGCUAAGAAGAUUGGCAAAAAAUGCAUAGGUAGUCCUUAGAGAAACUGUGUGUUCACCCUCGUCAGUCACACAGCUGUCCACCUUUGUCCUUUCAUUUCUGUCUCCAGCUAGAACAUCAGGCUCGGCUCAACUCUGCCUCCACAGGACCUAGUGUAGCUCUCUGUGAGAGUUCAGGUAAGUAUAUCAGGGCCUCCUGGCAAAGCCCAUAUCUUGAGGCCAUGGUGAGGCCAGGAACAGUCAUGGGCCAGGUAGUCAGCACAAGAAUUGGCUGGGCCAGAGUGCAGAAGUUCAGGGCCAAAUCAUGUUGGAGAUGGACGUUGCAUCGAGGGAGUGGUCAAUAGCACUUUGGUCUCAGGACACAAUGUUGAAAGAGGAUCUUGUUCCAUCAAAGCAGUGGGGAGGAAGGUGAACAGCAGGCCCAUCUAGGGAGGGGCUCAUGCACAAGGAAGGAGGAAGGAGGGGGCCAGGGACUAUAAAAGGGACCAGGAAGCACUUGGCUUUGUAACAAGCACUGAACUAGAGAAAAGGGCAACAUGGUCCCUAGUCUCACCUGACUGCUUCAGAGCAGAGCAGUUGCCAAGUUUGUCUGCAAACGAGAUUUACCUGGAACAACACUUUUGAAAUCAUCGUGUCUCAAUUGAGAGUUACUGAAUACGACAGUGGGUAUGUGUGGAGAAUUUUCAAAAUCCUUUUGUAACAGGAAUUUUGGCAUGCUUCCCCCAUACCCCAAUGCUAGAGCAUGAUCUGAUCACACACACACACACACACACACACACACACACACACACACACACACACUAUGUGAUUACAGUGAGUGACUGAGGCCCACCCUGAUUCAAAAAGAAUCAUUUCUUGAUGGAAUGUGCAAGCUUUGUGUGCAGAAGUAGGGCGAAACUACUGUUACCACUUGUGGAAGAUACAGUCUAACUAUAAUGGGCCAUUAUGAUAUUAGAGCUUCAUUGUUAUCAUUUAGAAGUAUGUGUGGCAAAUUUUCUUUUUUAAACCCUUUUUGUUUCAGAGCCAGAGUCAAACUAAGCCUGAAAGUACAAUAUAUUGAUGCUGAACAUAAAACAAGCCAGACAAGAUGUUGACUGUUGUUGAAGCAGGACGGGGAGUUGGUUGCUUCCUAACAUUCUUUAAUUUGUGUGUGCCUGCCGUUUUCCUACAUGGAGGAUGGAGGGUCUGUUCUGGCUGCUGACAGAUGAUGGUCUUCAUGCCCAGCAUAUGUGGGUGAGACCGAGUCCUGAAGCUAGCUGGGAAAGCUAGCCCAACAAUCUCAAGGCUUAGAGCUUCCUUCCCUCUUAGAGUCUCAGUUCCCUGAAGGUACCUUCCCGUAUCUCACAGCCAUGGCGUACCCCUCUUCUGACCUGAGACACAGCCUUGCUGGUCUGCAUCUUAGCACAGAGGAAAGAGGGAAAAACCUGCCAGCUGGGUCACCAGGGAUUACUAGGGAUUUUUGAUCUGAUCACCACACACCCACAUGGUAUACAGACUCAACCUUCCCAAGAGAACUAAUUUUGUUGAAUCUUUAGAGAUGGUGGUUAUACCCACUCAACCAUUUUGAUUCAAUAUUAUGUUUCUGCAAGGCAUUACAGUCAAGCAAGUAUACCCCUAUACACAUGUGUGUGUGUCAGUGUGACUGUAUGCUGCUUGUGUGGGAGGGCCAGUGGAGGCCUGGUGGUGGUGCUAGGAGCUAAACUCAGGUCCUCUGGAAGAGAAAGAAGCACUCCUAACCACUGAGCAAUCCCUCCAGCCCACAGUGCAUCUCUAAUUUUCCACUUUGCUUUAUGAAUAUAGUUAUCCAGGUGUGACAAUACACACCUUUAAUCCUAGCACCUGGGACUCGAUUCAGUUGCUGGCAUCUGAGGGCUACAGAAGCCCCUCCAAGGAACCUGAGAGAUCCAGGGAAGUUUAGAGUGGAGAUGCAGA
rnacentral:lncRNA from 1 species